AGAGAGCAAUAAAUCGCACUGUGUUACAGCUGAGCUCAUGAGGGAGGGCGCAUCAGGUAACCAUGGCGCAGUAUGUGUUAUGAGGGGGGCACGCCGUGUGCAUUCUGCUUCUAUUAGCCAUUUCAGCAUUACAGAGACCGGUUGAUCGAUCAGAAUCUGGACCUGGCGUUGCCAUAUUGUGUUGUAGUUGGACUCAAGUGGACGAUAACAGAGCUGUGAGUAAUUACUUCUUGACUGUUCUUUCCUCGGAGCAAACUGGUGAUUCAUCACUUCUACAUAAGAGCUCAUCUCACCUGCUUUUCUUCCCUGCCUUAGACACAUACUUAUACUAAAUGGGGUCAUUAAUAACGACGGUAGAGCACAUUAAGAACAGCUCAUUUCUGCUCUAUUGUGGUUUCCUAUCACAGAUCUGUGGCUGCAUGUCAGUAACAGGCCUCUGGAGAUGAUGAUGGAUGUAAAGCGGCACUCGGGGAGGAGCGCCAUGCCUCAGCUGCUCGUGAAGAUUGUUGGCGGAAAACAAAUUAAGCAACUCAUUGAUCCGAACAGGACUGAAGCUGCUGGCAGGCAGAAUGAAGACCCCAGUGAUGCUCCCACAGUGAUGAAGACUUCAGCACAAAAACUAGAGCUGCUUAGUCCCUCUAAAAACACAGAAAGUGCCAUCAUCCAUGCUGCUCUCGCACAGGUUCCAGACAGAGUGUGUGUAACAGCUCCCAGUGGAGAUCGCUCACACUCCUACAUCCACCUCAGGAGACCCGCUGCUAACAACACUAAAACACUGCUGCAGUCACACACAGAGCAGGAGGUCAGGCACGUCCAUCCUGAGGACUGGCUCCUCUUACUGGUCUCAGAGGAACUUGAGGGCUGGAAGCUCCAAACAUUAGAAAAGCUGGAGGAGGACGUUGCAGCUCUUGACCCCUCCCACACGGGCAGCGUCCACCAGUCAGAACUGACAUACCUGUUUCUCAGGUGGCAGGUGCCCCUCAGGCUGCCCACCCUGGCCUCUCUCCUGAACGUCUUCUGUAGCUCCGCCCACCCUGAGCAGGUACCUCCCAUCAAAUCCGUAAAACAGCUGA
ensembl:lncRNA